rnacentral:rRNA from 1 species
UUGCUAAGCUUAUUUUUCCAUUCCGUUGCCACAAUGCAGUCGCGCGGAUGAAGGGAGCUUGCUCCUGGAUUCAGCGGCGGACGGGUGAGUAAUGCCUAGGAAUCUGCCUGGUAGUGGGGGAUAACGUUCCGAAAGGAACGCUAAUACCGCGUACGUCCUACGGGAGAAAGCAGGGGACCUUCGGGCCUUGCGCUAUCAGAUGAGCCUAGGUCGGAUUAGCUAGUUGGUGAGGUAAUGGCUCACCAAGGCGACGAUCCGUAACUGGUCUGAGAGGAUGAUCAGUCACACUGGAACUGAGACACGGUCCAGACUCCUACGGGAGGCAGCAGUGGGGAAUAUUGGACAAUGGGCGAAAGCCUGAUCCAGCCAUGCCGCGUGUGUGAAGAAGGUCUUCGGAUUGUAAAGCACUUUAAGUUGGGAGGAAGGGCUGUAGGCUAAUAUCCUGCGGUUUUGACGUUACCAACAGAAUAAGCACCGGCUAACUUCGUGCCAGCAGCCGCGGUAAUACGAAGGGUGCAAGCGUUAAUCGGAAUUACUGGGCGUAAAGCGCGCGUAGGUGGUUCGUUAAGUUGGAUGUGAAAGCCCCGGGCUCAACCUGGGAACUGCAUCCAAAACUGGCGAGCUAGAGUACGGUAGAGGGUAGUGGAAUUUCCUGUGUAGCGGUGAAAUGCGUAGAUAUAGGAAGGAACACCAGUGGCGAAAGCGACUACCUGGACUGAUACUGACACUGAGGUGCGAAAGCGUGGGGAGCAAACAGGAUUAGAUACCCUGGUAGUCCACGCCGUAAACGAUGUCAACUAGCCGUUGGAAUCCUUGAGAUUUUAGUGGCGCAGCUAACGCAUUAGUUGACCGCCUGGGGGAGUACGGCCGCAAGUAAACUCAAUGAAUUGACGGGGCCGCACAGCGGUGGAGCAUGUGUUUAUUCGAGCACGCGAAGACUACUGCCUGGCUGCUGAACUCCGAUUGGAUGUGCUUCGUAACUUCGAACACCAGAGU